rnacentral:rRNA from 1 species
CCCUUAGAUGUUCUGGGCCGCACACGCGCUACACUGAAGGAGGCAGCGUGUACUCCUGGAUCGAAAGAUUUGGGUAACCCGCGAAUCUCCUUCGUGCUAGGGAUUGAGGUUUGCAAUUAUCCUUCAUGAACGAGGAAUUCCCAGUAAGUGCAAGUCAUAAGCUUGCGCUGACUACGUCCCUGCCCUUUGUACACACCGCCCGUCGCUACUACCGAUUGAAUGAUUUAGUGUGGACUUCGGACUGGGACCGAUGCGGCUUUCGGGCUGCGUCGGUAUUCUGGAAAGAUGUCCAAACUGUAUCAUUUAGAGGAAGUAAAAGUCGUAACA